rnacentral:lncRNA from 1 species
CCUUGAUGUAGAUGUCUCAUAGCUCACAAAGGAGCAGGGCUAUUUAAAUAUUCAGGGAGCAAGCAGUGCCAGUGAGAGCAGAAGAGACCUUCCCCUUUAAAUGGGUGAAGGCCCAAUCUGCUCCAAAUGUAAAGAGGGAAAGGAGACAAGAAACCUGCUGUGGAAUAGGGUACGUGGCAAAACUCAAAGAGAGAUCUGAGAAGGACAGAAAGCAGGCAAAUCUCAAAAAUGUCUACUACUAAAAAAUCUGGGAAAAUUAUUAGUAAUAAAAUGAAAAAUGGAGCAGUAAUGCAAAAUCCCAUUGCUCUGCCCCGUUAUUGUGGCCCAAUUUCUGAUUAGAAGGAUUGGCAGUUCAUAUCAAUCAAACCUUUAAUUUUUUCUUCCCUUAUUUUUCCCGUUCUCCUCCUACGAUUAAGUUACAAGGAAUUUAUUUUAUUACUUAGGCACAAGUACAGUUUGAAAAAAAAAAAAAUAACAAUAAGGUAAUUUUUGUCUUUUUUCUCAUCAUGAAAUUAUUAUUCCUGGGGUUUUCUGUACCUACAGUGGGAAUAGGAGCCAAGACUCUCCUGUCAGAGCUUGCUACUAAUCCAUCAUGGUGUUGGAGAGUGAGAGGAUAGGCAGUGGUGAACAUGUUCCAGAUUGAAUAUAAGGAGAUAUAAAUUGAAUUCAUGGUUGCAUUUAUAAGGACAUAUCUGAUAAGGGCUUUGGGCCUUUGGGAGAGAGUGAGCGUUUCUCUUCAUAACACUGUAACCUUAAUCUACAGAGGAUCUUCCUUACGUUUUUUCUUAAAAUUUAACUGCGGAGCCUUAAUGGAUGUCACAUUUAGANNNNNNNNNNNNNNNNNNNNNNNNNNNNNNNNUGUGCAAAGCUGUUUGUCUCCCAGUCAGAGGCAAAUGGGAACGGCUGCUGGCAUGCCAAAGCAUUGCACUGAAGGAGACAGUCUGCAGGUAUUAGCUGGAGUGGCAAGAGCAUGGUCUGCCAAGGAACUUCUUCUGGAUAUGUCAUAUAGCAGGCAGGAAAAUUUCAUGGAGAGCUUUAUAUUCAUUUCUGUGGAACGUAGUACAGAGCGUGCUGUCUCUCUCAUGCUUUCUGUGAAACAAGUUGGAUUGAAGUGCACCAGCAUGGUACAAGCUGUUUUAAGGCCUAACACUCAAAGACAGAAAGUCUCCUCCCUGAGGAUCUUAGAAUAGAAAU